UGCUUGUUCCCCGCCACCCUCACCGCAAUUCUGAUCGGAAAGAACUUCUGGUUGCUUCUUCAGCUGCUUCAUUGCCUUAAGGGUCUAAAACAGGACUCAGGAGAACAAGGUAGUGGUGUUCAUUUGAACAAAGGCAAUGAAGCAGCUGAAGAAGUACAGCAGGCAAGAGCAAAAAUCUACAAGUUGUGUGCUGACUGUUCUUUGCUAUUGGAGAGUUGCGUGAAGGAUGUGUAGUGUUGAGCAUCGAUGUA
rnacentral:lncRNA from 1 species